rnacentral:tRNA from 1 species
AGUCUUAUUCUCUUAUUAUGAUAUAAAAUUGCAAAUUUUGAGGGGUAUAAUUAUACUAAGGCUU